UACAGAUGGGUUUUCUCUGUUUCCCACUUUCUCUCAGUUUCUCUUCAGUCGAACCAAAGCUCCUCAAACUACUGAGAGAGAACCCUACGAGUGGGACUAAUAUAUUACCAUGGCGACGCUGCCGGUGGCUGGUGGUCCGGCAAUGAACCCGGAGGUUCUAACGGCGGUGGCUCCGGCACCGGGGACAGACAUGUAUGCUUCAAGGACCAGUUGUGGCUCAACACUAACCCUCUGGACCGAAACUUGGUGUUCGAUUACUUUGCUCUCUCACCAUUCUACGACUGGACUUGCAAUAAUGAGCAACUCCGCAUGCGCUCCAUUCACCCACUCGACCUGUCUCACCUCUCGAUAAUGAACUUUGAAAGUGAUGGCAAAGGGGAGAACUGCCCACGAGCUCAACUAUAUGUAAUGCUGUCUGACUAUCACAGUACGGCAAGAUAGAUUGUGGAUGUGGAAUUUAAAAAUGACAGUAUGAAGUUAUGGAGCCCCAUUUAUUUGUCAUCCGCAAGCAAAAGAGGGAUGGUCCUGAAAAAGUUACACCAAUGCUGACUUACUAUAUUUUGGAUGGUUCAAUUUACCAAGCGCCGCAGCUUUGUAAUGUUUUUGCUGCUCGAAUUAGCCGGUCUCUUUAUCAUAUAUCCAAAGCUUUUACUAUUGCUGCUUCAAAGUUGGAGAAGAUUGGAUAUGUUGAUGUUGAUGAGAGUGUAGCCUUGGAAUCAAAGGUUGCUAAAGAGACAAUUGAUUUAAGGAAGUUAAGCGAAUAGAUCAUAUACUUGCAUCCUUGCAACGAAAGGUAAAGCAUUUUACAUACAGCUGGUCAAAUUAGAUUGAAAAGGAUCAGGGAUAUACAACAUGUGCAAUUUGUUCAAUCAGUUCCAUUCAACUCCAAGCAAGUGUUCGGUACUUUUUUUCUUUUUUAAGUGUUUCCAAUUCCUCUCUCUCUCCCCCCACCCCCUAUUUGAGCUAAGAAGGUAUUAAAUUGGUGUGAGAUGUGUAGGAUUAAUAUUGAUUUUAUUGUUUUAGGUGAUGAGAAGGUUCUUUCUUUUCUUUUUUUGGAUUGAUAAUGAUAGUUCAUAUAUGGAGGUUAAAGUUAAUGUAUAUAGGAGAGGUAUUCAUGUCAAUGGUGGGAUUGAGCGUAUAGUAUCCUUUUGUGGUUGUUGCAUGGCUACUGGAGUAGAUAACUUAGAUCGGUACAAAUAAAAAAAAAAAAUAAAAAAAAAAGGGUUUUCUGGGUUAGCUCCUAUGUUGCUAGUUCGACCCAAA